CACUUUCUCGAUUAUGAAGGGGCCAUUCCCAAGAUUGAGAAUUUUCUCGAGGAACAAACCCCCAUUGAAGAGAAAAUGGCCAUCUGGGAUUUUCAUGGCAAAUUCCAGCAGGGGCAUGUUUGGCGUUGUCGAGAGCAAUUGGAAAUAUUCUUGAACACUGGCUUGCGAGGGAUGAUUCGUCUGGCUUUUGACCUAUUAAGGGAUCAAGCCAGACUUCAAAAAGAAUUGUGCCAAGUGUACCAAAUUCCUCCUUUAAAGUGCUUUUUUCAUCCGUUUUCUACGCCCAACAUAACUCGAGCAGGUUUUGUUUUUGAGCUGGAUGUUUGGCAAAUUGAAAGACAUUCAAAACUUUCUAAAUUCAAUUAGGUUACAAUCAUCGGCUCUACAAGUUGUUCCAUUCACUAAAUCCACGAGCAUCCUCGUCCAAAAUAUAUCCCAUCUCAAGAAACGGCGUGGGAGGCAAGGUCAAUACUUGUCUUUUAGAGCAAAGGGCGAUCCAGUUCUUGUUGAAAAACAUGGGUUCUCAUGUGAAUGAGGGAGUCUAACACUUUUGGUCGCCUUAGGGACCAUUCACUUUUGGUCGCUUGACUCCCGAUCUCCUCAUCAAGGCAAAACCGCAAAACCUUGCUUUUUUCAUUCAUGGCUGUUUCAUGAAAGGUCAUGAACGAGAAAAUUGCAAAAUCUUUCCAAAGGACUUGUGUCAGUUAGAGAAAAAUAUUUUUGGGCUCGACUAUGCAGAGUGGAGAGCAUCUUGCCAAGCAAAGAUGAACCUUGUUCCCACUGACAUUGAGGUAACUGAGCUCUGGGAGUGCGAGCUUAAAUUUAACCAAAGUUACCAACACUUUGUCCAAUACGAGUUCAAGGAGAAACCAUUGACAAGACUUCGCCCGGAAGACGCCCUUUCGGGAGGCAUCAACAAGAUUAUUACCGAAAGCGAGGAUAUUCACAUUGAAAACAAUAGAUUUCUUCACGGGAGCGAAAGGCUGAUUGGAUUGGUGUUUUGUAGGUUAGUGGCCCCACGUGAAUCAAAACUGGCUUACAUUCCCAUUUGUAUGAUUGCCGGAUGGUGGCUGUUGACUAGAUCUUUAUUGUUCGUUUGUGGAGGUAUUUAUAAUAAGGGAAAAUGUCUAUGGCGAGUAUGAUGGUAAGAGCAGGAGUAGUGAUAAAUGUAAAUUGAUCUCG